rnacentral:snoRNA from 1 species
ACCCUCCAGUUUCCCAGGUUCUUUCCCCAUCUGAUGUCAACCCUGGUCUGAGUGGUCACAAAAGAGGAAAAACAACACCGAAACAGACUUCAAUGCUUUUGUAGCACAUGCACUAGUUUCAAAUAAUU